UGCCUAAUACAUGCAAGUCGAGCGAGCUUGCCUAGAUGAUUUUAGUGCUUGCACUAAAUGAAACUAGAUACAAGCUAGCGGCGGACGGGUGAGUAACACGUGGGUAACCUGCCCAAGAGACUGGGAUAACACCUGGAAACAGAUGCUAAUACCGGAUAACAACACUAGACGCAUGUCUAGAGUUUAAAAGAUGGUUCUGCUAUCACUCUUGGAUGGACCUGCGGUGCAUUAGCUAGUUGGUAAGGUAACGGCUUACCAAGGCAAUGAUGCAUAGCCGAGUUGAGAGACUGAUCGGCCACAUUGGGACUGAGACACGGCCCAAACUCCUACGGGAGGCAGCAGUAGGGAAUCUUCCACAAUGGACGCAAGUCUGAUGGAGCAACGCCGCGUGAGUGAAGAAGGGUUUCGGCUCGUAAAGCUCUGUUGGUAGUGAAGAAAAAUAGAGGUAGUAACUGUCCUUUAUUUGACGGUAAUUACCUAAAAAAGUCUCGGCUAAACUACGUGCCUGCAGCCGCGGUAAUACGUAGGCGGCAAGCGAUAUCCCGAUUUACUGCGUGUAAAAUGCGUGUAGGCGAGAGUGCAAGUCAGAUGUGAAAACCACGGGCUCAUCCUCAGGCUUGCAUUCGUAAGUGUAGGUCUUGAGUACUGGAGAGGCAGACGGAAUUCCUAGUGUUGCGGUGAAAUGCGUAGAUAUUAGGAGGACUACCAGUGGCGAAGGCGGUUUGCUGGACAGCAAAUGACGCUGUGGCGCGCAAGCGUGGGGAGCAAACAGGAUUAGAUACAUUGGUAGUGCACUCCGUCAAAGACGGCUAUUACGUGCGGGGGGUCUGACCCCCUCCGUGCCGCAGUUAACACAAUAAGUAUCCCACCUGGGGAGUACGAUCGCAAGGUUGAAACUCAAAGGAAUUGACGGGGGCCCGCACAAGCGGUGGAGUAUGUGGUUUAAUUUUAAGCAACGAGAAGAACCUUAUCAGGGCUGGACAUCCCGAGGACCGGACUAGAGAUAGUGUUUUCUCUUCUGAGACUUCGGAGACAGGUGGUGCAUCGUUGUGGUCAGCUAGCGUCGCGAGAUGGUGGGUUAUGUUCCCCAACGAGCGCAACCACUCUUCUUAGUUGCUACUCAAGAGCACUUCAGUGUGAGAGCCGUAGACAAAACGGAGGAAGGGGGGGGCGACGCCAAAUCAUCAUGCCCCUUAUGUCGUGGGCCCCACACGUAAUACAACGGUGGUCAACAGAGGGAAGCAAUACCGCGCGGCGGUGCAAAUCCAUAAAAUCCAUCCCAGUUUGGAUAGCAGGCUGCAACCCGCCUGCGUGAAGUUGGAAUCGGUAGUAAUCGCGGAUCAGCAUGCCGCGGUGAAUAGGAUCCCAGGGCCUUGCACACACCGCCCGUCA
rnacentral:rRNA from 1 species